AUACGUAUGGUGCAAGCGUUAUCCGGAUUUACUGGGUGUAAAGGGAGUGUAGGUGGUCUGACAAGUCAGAGGUGAAAGCCCGGGGCUCAACCCCGGGACUGCCUUUGAAACUGUCAGACUAGAGUGCAGGAGAGGUAAGUGGAAUUCCUAGUGUAGCGGUGAAAUGCGUAGAUAUUAGGAGGAACACCAGUGGCGAAGGCGGCUUACUGGACUGUAACUGACGCUGAGACACGAAAGCGUGGGGAGC
rnacentral:rRNA from 1 species